rnacentral:rRNA from 1 species
UAGCCGUAAACGAUACUCGCUAGGUGUCGGCCACGGUGCGACCGUUGUCGGUGCCGUAGGGAAGCCGUGAAGCGAGCCACCUGGGAAGUACGGCCGCAAGGCUGAAACUUAAAGGAAUUGGCGGGGGAGCACCGCAACGGGAGGAGCGUGCGGUUCAAUUGGAUUCAACGCCGGACAACUCACCAGGAGCGACGGUUACAUGAAGGCCAGGCUGAUGACCUUGUCUGAUUUUUCCGAGAGGUGGUGCAUGGCGUAGUCGUGU